CGGCGGACGGGUGAGUAAUGCCUAGGAAUCUGCCUGGUAGUGGGGGACAACGUUUCGAAAGGAACGCUAAUACCGCAUACGUCCUACGGAGAAAGCAGGGACCUUCGGGCCUUGCGCUAUCAGAUGAGCCUAGGUCGGAUUAGCUAGUUGGUGAGGUAAUGGCUCACCAAGGCGACGAUCCGUAACUGGUCUGAGAGGAUGAUCAGUCACACUGGAACUGAGACACGGUCCGGACUCCUACGGGAGGCAGCAGAU
rnacentral:rRNA from 1 species